rnacentral:lncRNA from 1 species
AUGAGGUGAAUGGUAUAACAGCACGUUUUAGACAAAUAGUGAAAAACGACAAGUGCUAUAAUGACAUCCAGGUUUCUUAUGUGACCUGGGAUAGUUCAUUUUGUGCUGCCAAUCCCAGAUAUGUUGCCGUAUGCAUAGAGGUGUGUGGGAGGGGAGAGUUGUGCUCCAUUGCCCAAGAAUUUGAAUGAGAUUCUUCAUUCAAAACAGUA